rnacentral:rRNA from 1 species
AACGAACGCUGGCGGCAUGCCUAACACAUGCCAGUCGAACGAUGCCUUCGGGCAUAGUGGCGCACGGGUGCGUAACGCGUGGGAAUCUGCCCUUGGCUUCGGAAUAACAGUUAGAAAUGACUGCUAAUACCGGAUGAUGUCCCCCUGAGAGAUCUUGGGGACCAAAGAUUUAUCGGCCAGGGAUGAGCCCGCGUAGGAUUAGGUAGUUGGUGGGGUAAAGGCCUACCAAGCCGACGAUCCUUAGCUGGUCUGAGAGGAUGAUCAGCCACACUGGGACUGAGACACGGCCCAGACUCCUACGGGAGGCAGCAGUGGGGAAUAUUGGACAAUGGGGGGAACCCUGAUCCAGCAAUGCCGCGUGAGUGAUGAAGGCCUUAGGGUUGUAAAGCUCUUUUACCAGGGAUGAUAAUGACAGUACCUGGAGAAUAAGCGCCGGCUAACUCCGUG